rnacentral:sRNA from 1 species
GAACUGGGCCAAGCCCCUCCGGAGGCGCUAAGCUUGCGCCCUGAGGCGGUUUCCGUUCCCGGACGUUUGGAGUCUGUCCUGGAGAAGGGGAAGGAAAAAGUAAGACGUAGAAGUACACUGAGACUUCGUCACACAUAAAACAAGCACGACAAAGAAAGAGGGCGCGAAGGGACUCCUGGAAGAAAUUGAGUCUGCAUUUAAGAUCACCCUAAAAGUAGUGACGGCCUCUUUAUUAUUCCAAACCCCAGAUUUAAGUCGGUAGGACGUCUUCGCGUUGACUUGUGGGGAAUGUAGUUUUGAUGCUGCCGGCGCGUUUUGUUUGCGACAGAAACUACAACCCCCAGGGGCCACCGCGACGUUGCCUGUGGGUGCCCGCGAACCAACGGUUGGCGGUGGCAGGGGCUGACUGAGAGCGUCUGCUUGUGCCUGGUACCUAGUACAAACUUAAUAAAUGUGUGACGCAAGAAUAAAGGAAUGAAUGAAUGGAAGAAUGGUAUAAUGCCACAGAACUUUCAAAGAGUCUGACUCUAUUACUCAGGCUAGGAUGCAGUGGUACAAU